AUACGGAGUGGGCUAGCGUUGUUCGGAAUUACUGGGCGUAAAGCGCGCGUAGGCGGAUCGUUAAGUCAGGGGUGAAAGCCCGGAGCUCAACUCCGGAACUGCCCUGGAUACUGGCGAUCUCGAGUCCGGGAGAGGUGAGCGGAAUUCCUAGUGUAGAGGUGAAAGUCGUAGAUAUUAGGAGGAACACCAGUGGCGAAGGCGGCUCACUGGCCCGGUACUGACGCUGAGGUGCGAAAGCGUGGGGAGCAAACAGGAUUAGAAACCCUAGUAGUCC
rnacentral:rRNA from 1 species